rnacentral:rRNA from 1 species
GAUGAACGCUAGCGACAGGCUUAACACAUGCAAGUCGAGGGGCAGCGGGGAGCGAAGCGUGCUUUGGUCCGCCGGCGACCGGCGCACGGGCGAGUAACACGUAUGCAACCUGCCCGUCACAGGGGGAUAAUCGGGAGAAAUCCCGUCUAAUACCGCGUGACACUUUCCGGAGGCAUCCCCGGGAGAUCAAAGGCAGCGAGUCCGGUGACGGAUCGGCAUGCGGUGCAUUAGAUAGCGGGCGGGGUAACGGCCCACCGAGGGGACGAUGCGUAGGGGUUCUGAGAGGAAGGUCCCCCACACUGGUACUGAGACACGGACCAGACUCCUACGGGAGGCAGCAGUGAGGAAUAUUGGUCAAUGGGCAAAAGCCUGAACCAGCCAAGUCGCGUGAGGGAAGACGGUCCUAUGGAUUGUAAACCUCUUUUGUCGGGGAGCAACGACGCCACGUGUGGCGGAAGGGAGAGUACCCGAAGAAAAAGCAUCGGCUAACUCCGUGCCAGCCGCCGCAGUAAUAC